AUACUUACCUGGCAGGGGAGACACCAUGAUCAGGCAGGUGGUUUUCCCAGGGCGAGGCUCAUCCCUUGCACUCCGGGUGUGCUGACCCCUGCGAAAGAAUUUUCCCGGGAGCCCGGGUUAGAGACAUCACGAG
rnacentral:snRNA from 1 species